AUUUAUGCGACUGAAUGUGGGGCUGAAAACCCUGAACACCUACGUUCAACGCAGUUGCGCAAACAUGUCGCAACUUUGUCUCAGAUCUUAAACCUCAAGAAUCACGAGUUAGACCAAGUUGCCAACUUCCUAGGUCAUGAUAUUCGUGUUCAUCGCGAAUAUUAUAGACUUCCAGAGGCUACUACCCAGCUUGCCAAAAUAUCCAAACUACUGAUUGCCAUGGAGAAAGGGUCUCUCAAAAGCCUUCAAGGCAAAACACUUGAAGAGAUUGAAAUCGAAGAUAACCUACAGUUGACAGAUUCAAGUGAAGAAAGUGAGGUCGGAGCGGAGCGUGAGGAGGUCGGAGCGGAGCGUGAGGAGGUCGGAGCGGAGCGUGAGGAGGUCGGAGCGGAGCGUGAGGAGGUCGGAGCGGAGCGUGAGGAGGUCGGAGCGGAGCGUGAGGAGGUCGGAGCGGAGCGUGAGGAGGUCGGAGCGGAGCGUGAGGAGGUCGGAGCGGAGCGUGAGGUCAAUGAAGGAAAUCUUGUAUAUCCACAGAUUGAUUCUAUAGAUACUAGAAUGAUGAAGAAAGUUGUCAAGGAACCUCCAGCACAAAGUAAAAAUGGAGCGGGUAAGGUCAUUGAACCCAACAGAAUACUAAACAAGGAGAUGAAGCCAAGCAGUAAGAAGAAAACAAAUGAACAAUCUGCUUCUCUGGAAAAUGCAAGGAGGGUCAAAAAGCAUCCUUGGUCUCCCACGGAGGUUGCUGCGAUAAUGAAGUAUUUUGGCGAACAUAUCAAAAAAGGAAAACUGGCCACUAUUAUCGAAUGCCAGCAAUGCAAAACUGCAGAAGAUCCUGCUCUGGCUGGUCGUUCUAUUCAAAACAUCAGAGAUUUUGUGAGGAAUCGGGGCGUGUCGUUGAAGAAAAAAGAAAAUCCUAUGUAGAGGAGUCUACAUAACUCCAAAGUACUUCUUGGAGGAGUUACAAAAGAUAUUUUGUAUGUUUUGGUUUCUCAUUUAUUUAUUUUAGAAUUUUACUAUUAGAAGAUUGGUAAAUUCAUUUUGUUGACACUGUUUUAGUGCAUCUGAUCUAAGAGGACAUAUAAUUUUAUAUUGCCAGUUAUUUUCAUUUCUGUUAACAAAACAAUCCUGUUUUUGUAAAAUGCACUCAAUUUGUUCCUUUUAUUCACCUGUUGCCCUUUUAAUACACACAAAAUACAUGUUUGUGUAUGUGUAUGGCCUUUGUCCUGUUAAUAAAGUUAGCCCUGACAAUUACUGUUCAUGUCAGGGGGAGGAGCCAAGUUA
ensembl:lncRNA